AACGAACGCUGGCGGCAGGCUUAACACAUGCAAGUCGAGCGCCCCGCAAGGGGAGCGGCAGACGGGUGAGUAACGCGUGGGAAUCUACCCAUCCCUACGGAACAACUCCGGGAAACUGGAGCUAAUACCGUAUACGCCCUUCGGGGGAAAGAUUUAUCGGGGAUGGAUGAGCCCGCGUUGGAUUAGCUAGUUGGUGGGGUAAUGGCCUACCAAGGCGACGAUCCAUAGCUGGUCUGAGAGGAUGAUCAGCCACACUGGGACUGAGACACGGCCCAGACUCCUACGGGAGGCAGCAGUGGGGAAUAUUGGACAAUGGGCGAAAGCCUGAUCCAGCCAUGCCGCGUGAGUGACGAAGGCCCUAGGGUUGUAAAGCUCUUUCACCGGUGAAGAUAAUGACGGUAACCGGAGAAGAAGCCCCGGCUAACUUCGUGCCAGCCGCCGCCGUAACAC
rnacentral:rRNA from 1 species